AGUGGUGUAGCUCAGUGGCAGAGCCUCUGCUUUGUGUGCGGAAGGUCCCAGGUUCAAUCCCUGGCAUCUCCA